UCUUAGCCAAGCAAGGUCACCUUGCCACCCAAAGUCUCCUUGCCCAUGGUAUCCCCAUGACAAGAAGACAGCAUAUUUGUACCCAAAUAUGUAUUCAUCUAUUGUUGGAAUGCAAUGUAUCAUUCCAAAGACGUAUCCAUCCAAACUCCCUCAUCCUUCCAACCUCUCUCGUGUCUUGCAACCAACCUUAGUACUUCCGCUGCAACCCGUUGUCGUAGUGCUUGGCGCACUACCCCUUCCGGGAAAGGCUUACUUGGCUACGUGGGCAUUGUAGUUAGCCAAGUGCCGCACGUAUGGUUAGCUUCAGAUCCUAACCACGUGACAUGAGGCAUGCAUACUACCAAAUAUACUAUAAAUAAACCAUAAUUCUUUUUUAAGAAAUUAAACAACUAAUUAAAUAUAAAGAAGAAAGAUUAGAAAAUGAAUGAUCAAACAAACUAUGACUCAUUUAUUUUUGACAGGUUCGGCCAGUAUCACCUGACAAUUCAUUUUCACCAAGAAAAAUAAACAUGAGUAGC
rnacentral:lncRNA from 1 species